rnacentral:lncRNA from 1 species
GGUUAGGAUGAUGGUGGUUGACACUUAGAAUGAUAGUGGUCCCCUAGCGUUGAUUGGGUAGUUGGUUAAAUAGUAUGAUCUAAUGGGUGGAAAUGAUCAAUGAAAUAAAUCUAAUGGUCGAAAACUUAUGAGUAUAAGGGAGCCAAUACUCAUAAAAGUAUAAUAGCCGGACUCUCUCUCUCUUUCUCUCUCUCUCUCUCUCUCUAUGUAUAUAUAUAUAUAUAGUCCGGCUACUAUUGUAAUAUAUUAAAACUUUGGGUUGCAAUGUCAACUUUGCUCUGGAAGAUCAAAGUGGAGUUUGAAUUGGAUGUGCAUCAUUCCCGAGUGAUUUUGGAGGUGUGGGAAUGAUUUCUGGAGGUAAUUGAAUAUUCGGGUACAAAUCGGGCACGAAAUGAACUUGAAAGUGGAUUUUUGAAUUAUGACACUAACUUUGACCUACGCGAUCAAAGUGAGGUAUGAAUG